GCACUGAUGGUGUAGCGGUAACACACACGCUCUUGUUCAAUGUAGAUCCAGCCACUGUGUUUGAGUGAGUCUGGGGUUCGACUCCCCAUCGGUGCA